AUUGAACGCUGGCGGCAGGCCUAACACAUGCAAGUCGAGCGGAUGAAGGGAGCUUGCUCCUGGAUUCAGCGGCGGACGGGUGAGUAAUGCCUAGGAAUCUGCCUGGUAGUGGGGGAUAACGUCCGGAAACGGGCGCUAAUACCGCAUACGUCCUGAGGGAGAAAGUGGGGGAUCUUCGGACCUCACGCUAUCAGAUGAGCCUAGGUCGGAUUAGCUAGUUGGUGGGGUAGAGGCCUACCAAGGCGACGAUCCGUAACUGGUCUGAGAGGAUGAUCAGUCACACUGGAACUGAGACACGGUCCAGACUCCUACGGGAGGCAGCAGUGGGGAAUAUUGGACAAUGGGCGAAAGCCUGAUCCAGCCACGCCGCGUGUGUGAAGAAGGUCUUCGGAUUGUAAAGCACUUUAAGUUGGGAGGAAGGGCAGUAAGUUAAUACCUUGCUGUUUUGACGUUACCAACAGAAUAAGCACCGGCUAACUUCGUG
rnacentral:rRNA from 1 species